AAAAAGCCAGUGAAAGAACGAGUACGCAGCAAAUGGCACUUUAAAGAGAGAACUACCUUGGCUGAAAGUAGUUUAGGACAUGCGGCAGAAAGACAGUCUGGAGGCGAGUGCGUGCAAAGCCACUCCGCGAGCGAGCGUUAUUCGCAUUGAGGAAAGCAUGAAGCUUUCAAAUUUAGGUGGUACCGCGAGAUUAUUCGCCCUUGUG
rnacentral:ncRNA from 1 species